GCCAGCAUGGUGUAGUGGUUUGAACAUUAGACUCUGACUCUAGAGACCAGGGUUCAAAUCCCUCCUCAGCA